UUUUUUUUUUUUUUAAGGAAACCUUGGCUUUACAAGUGUGGGUCCUUAAUAAAUAUCUAUAUUGUUUGUGAUCUCGAUGUUUGCUUUUCAACAAGAUUUAUAAACUUCUUCCACCAUUACCAAGCAGUUGUCUUACAUAGGCUAGUGAACACAAAUCCAAAGAAUUGCCAUGGCAAAAUGUUUGCAUCAUCUCCAGGACUGGGCUAAGCUGUUGAAAGAAUUUCAGAGGUCUUUCAAUAUCAAGAACAAAUAAAUAUGCAAUAUAUAUAUUUCCCCAAAAUCUUUUAAAAUUACAGGUUUUGAACCAUUUUGAAAAAUUUCUAUAAUCAGGAAUUCCUGGUGCAGUGAAAGUACACUGAGCUAAACAGAAAACCUGGGCUGAUAUUCCAGCAAUCACCUAAUCGCAUCAAACCAGAGUUUCUUAAAAUUAGCAAAUAAUAUCUGCAUUCCUGGAUUGUUAUGUGAGAACAUCAAUCUAAAGACAAAGGUUGGGCAAGAAAAAAAUUACUUUUCUGAAGAUAAAAUCUCACUAUAAAUGAAAACAUUAGGUUAACAAAUCUCUAUAAACAUAAUUGAACAAAACAAAAGAAUCUUCCAUGUAUAGUUGCUACAGUAAUGCUUAAAUGUUCACCAGAGUAGCCAACCUUCUUUCCCCAAAACUAUUAAAAAUGAAAUAAAAAUUUCCUUUUUUUUACGGUUUUAUUUAUUUAUUCAUGAGAGACAGAGAGAGAGAGAGAGGCAGAGACAUAGGCAGAGAGAGAAGCAGACUCCCUGGGAGGAGCCUAAUGCAGGACUUGAUCCCAGGACCGCAGGAUCAUGAACUGAGCUGAAGGCAAAUGCUCAACCAAUGAGCCAUCCAGGAUCCCAAAAUAAAAAUUUCUACAAUGACUUAGAUAAGUCUUUUUAGAAAGAUAUUCCUUAUACGAACCAUAUUCUAUAUAUGGAAGAUGAAAAAAGUUCUGGAGAUGGAAAAGUCCUGGUGAUGAUUGUACAAUAAUGUGAAUAUAUUUAAAGCCACUGAACUGUACAUUUAAAAAUGCUUAAUAUGGUAAUGUUUAUGUUUUGUAUAUUUUACUACAAUUUUUAAAAAGCAACAAAAAAUGUAAAUACCUGAGAAGGGGCCCAAAGAGAUAACAUAAAUGAAAAGGUGUUUUCAGUACAAUACAGUAAUGAUUCGUGGGUAUCAUCCUGGUGAACCUAUACUCUGUUGCUCAACAAAUGUUUAGUAAGAGAUUAAAGACUGAUUUGUGUGAUAAUGUAUUAAACAUAUUAUAGCCAGACACUCUUCCAUGUAUUCAGAUUAUUUCAACCCACAAACCAGUCCUUCAUGGUACUUCAUAGGACUUCAGUUCUUCAUGGAACAGUUCCUUCUUCAUGAGUCUUCAUGGAAUUUAGAUUCUAGCAAAUGUGUGUAGUGGGUAUUUUCUGCAGUUCUCAUCAACUAUGGUCAUGCGGGAAGGUCUUCUCAAUAUUGCCAGACCUUCAUAUUUUUUAAGAGAAGCCAGAACUCUGAUAUUUUAGGUAAAACCUUCCAAUUUUGAAUGUUGGAAACUAAUUAAAUUGUUAAAAAACAAUGUGUGGGCCAAACAUCCAUUGGACAAAACCAGAUUUGGGGAUAUCAUUUUAAACUUCUAAGAGGAAUGCUAUCUAAUAUUCACUACUUUCAUUUAGAUCUAACAUAUGAUUAGUGCCAAGUAUCUGUUUAACCCUUGAAGAUGGUUUUGUAGGUCAGCCCUUUCACUGUUUAUUAGUAAUACUUUGCUUAUUCUAUACUAAGGUAAAACUGUACCCAAAGGAAGGGAGAAUAAAACUGAAAAAUCAUGAAAAAAAACCACUAUUCCCAGCAUAUGAUGUAUCACAUCUAUAUUUCUGGAAGAACACAGCACACUGCUUUCUGACAGCACAAUGACCAAGACCACCCCAGGCACGCAUUAUACAAUCCUAAGCUGUGUUUGUUCAGAAGAGAAACAGAACAAAAUUUAUGAGCUUCACUUUAGCUCAUAUCAAUAUAUUUCAAGCACCAGAAUACUUUUUCAUUUUGCAGGUGGUGCUUUAAAGCUUGUAUUAUAGAUUUUAAAACAUAAUUCUGAAGAAUCCUAAGUCCCUAAGGCCCAACAAUUAACCCUGCAUCAUCAAACAUUUUUAAACCAAUCAUUUACCUCUCCUGUGCAUGCUGAAGCAAAUGCUAACAAGCUCUUUCACCUUAAUAAAUUAAGAGUUGUUUCAAAAGUUAACAUAGGUGUAUGUUCAAACUGUAUUAUGUAUGUCGAUGGGGUGAUCUGGGUUACAAGAAAUUCUUUAUUGUGCAUUUUAAAGUAUUACCUUUCUGUGGGGAAUCCAUUAAUUUCUUUCUGUCAUCCUCCUCCCCCUCUCUAAGCCACCCACUAAUCUAAGCAUUCUUGAACACGAACCUUAUAAGUGUUUCUUCAUGCAUGUGCAAUAUAUUGGGUAACUAAAUGAAAUGCAGCUGGGAAACAUGAAGUAGACAUUGAAAUGACUCAUUAGGCAGCUGCAUAGAAUAGACAGAAGAAAGUGGCAGGAAAAUCUACCAUGAAGAUGCCUAAGGUCAUACAUACCAUUUCCAGUAGAUGACUAGAGGCAACAUUAAAUAAAGCUCUAGGGAAGAAUAUGGAGCUCUAAGGUCCCAGUGCUAGACAACAAUAGAAAUUAAAUUUACUAAAAAUAUGUAUUCGUUAAUAAAUUUAACACCAUAAACCACUGAGUUUGAGACUAUAAUUAAUGGAAACAAAGCUGGGGUAUGAAUAAUUGAAACAAACAAACAAAAAGUAAUAUUUUAGAGAAGUCACUGAUUAAUAGGCAUCUUGGGGCUCCAAAUUAUUUAUUUUACUUUGUUUCUUAGUCCUAAAGUUGAGAAAGUUAAUACAACAUGUAGGUCAUGGAAUGUGGAGCUUGAAAUCCUUUGUUUUAAUCUGACUUUAGCCUUUUUUUCUACCCAGAUGAGUCUAUUCUCUAACCUAAAAAUAAAUGGGAAUAAUAAUAGACUGCAUAAAGCUAUUUCUACAAGGAUUCAAUUAUAUUAAUUGGUGACAAAGUAGUAUUAUUUGAAACCAAACCAAUUUCAUUACUUACUUUAUCACUUAUUAGCUGCCUGACAUAUAGGAAAAUAUUUAAUGUCUCUAUACCUCAAUUUAUUCUUCUAAGAAAGAAGUAAGACAAUAUAUAAGCCACAGUAUUGCAAUUAUGAAGUUACAUACUAUCUGUAAUCUGUUAGCAAAAUGACUAUUAUACACUACAAAAGUUCAUUAUCACUAGUAAAUGAAAAUACCUGGAAAACAGCUCAUGUUCCAAAAGACUUUGUCAAAUCUGACUAUAAUAAAUACGAAAAAGAUAAAUUAUCUUAAGGGCAAUCAUACAUACUUUUUUCUUUUCCAAUUAUGACCUACAUCUAUUCAGAGUUUCUAAUGAUAUCCAGGAUGAACAGCAAUCGCAGUCAAUGCCACACACACACACACACACACACACACACACCCAUGCAUGCAUGAUCUUAACUAAAAAGAUAUUUUAAUAAGGUCCCUUUAGCUAAAUAUCCUACCUAAGAAAGAGAGGAAAGAUAUUAUGAUAUGGAUUUAAGAGAGCAUUAGCUAGGAUAAGCUAAGAAAAAAAGUGUUGUAGAGUUGCCAGUAAACAAUGGAAAGCUAGCCUAAGAAUUCAGAAAAUAAAAAUACUAAUUUGAGAAACAUAGCAUAGACUGUAGCCAAAUGGCCUGGUUUGUGUCUGGUCUGUAACACUUCUGGCAGCUUCCCUUUCUCAGGUGUACAGUUCACUUGGUGAACACUCAUCCAAUUAGCUACCUAAUGCCAUGUCAUUUCUCCAAUCAAAACAUUUCUAAGAUCCUCAUAUUUUCUAACCAUUGAAGUAUAAAUGUAGUCUAGGUUAAAAUAUCUCUAAAAUGAGAAGUCAAGUCACUCUUCCAGGUUUAGUCUCCAAUCUACCCUACAAGAGCACUAAACUCAGAGCAUUUGGGGCCACAAGCUGAGCCUAUGUACUUCCUAAGCAUUUGCACUUCCUUCUCUUCCACAUUCAGUUCCUUCUUCCUUAAAUGCCUGUUUUUCUGUCUACUUCCUUGAAUCCCCAGCUAGUUGAAAGAAUCUCGAGAACAAGUAAUAUUUACAUACCUUUAUACGAAACUUGCUUCAGCUAACAAAAUGCUUCCAUCUGCCCACUCAUUCCAAAAAUCCAGUGUCAAUGGAGUGCCAAUUAUACAAUCGGCAUUCUGAGAGAUACUGUAGGUGCUAAAAAAAUAUUUGAUGAAUUUAAUUAACUCUUUAUCUCUAAUGAUAAUAUGCUUUAGAGGUGUCUGGGGGCUCAGUCCAUUAAGCCACUCACUCUUGAUCUUGGCUUAGGUCAUUCCCUCAGGGUUGUGAAAUUAGCCCCAAGUCAGGCUCUGCUCUGAGCACUGGGCAUGGAACCUGCUUAAGAUUCUCUCUCUCCUUCUCCCUCUGCCCCUCUCCACUCCGUCUGCCCCUCCCCUCUCCCUCUGUCCCUACCUCUAAAAAAAUAAAAAGAUAAUAUGCUUAGCUAUUAUUAAAACAGUAAUAUGAGGAUUCUGGUUUUAUUUGGGUGUGUGUACUUAUUUUAAAGUACUUCGAA
rnacentral:lncRNA from 1 species